CUUGAGCUGUCUCAUUAGUAAUAAUCUCAACUACCGCCUGUAGUCUAAUAAUGCGGUUGAGCAUAUAUAAUCGGAGUUCUAUAUCCAUAAGUGCCAUCUUCUGCCCAAGUAGCAGGUCCAUAAUAAUUAAUAAUACGUUGAGGGGGCCACUCAUUAUCUUCCCAGCUACCUGUAUUCAAGGAUGCUCUCUCCCUUUUAUGAUUUACAUCGUAAACCUUAACUCCCAAGGUCUCUCCUGUUUCAAUUGGCAACAAGAAGAAGGAUGGCUUUGGCAUACCUAAUACACAUGCCCCUUCCCAAUCUUGUGGUAACUCCGAAUAAGUUUUCUUACCACAAAUCCAGUAUAAAUUUGCUGGGGCUUUCCAACUAGAUGAGUGUAAUUGGAAAACGGAUUAGUAGGUUCCGAGACAUUUGAAGCUGACCACCAAGUAGUAUUUUUAGUAUUAACAUUAUAGGCUUUUUGUCCCAAGCAAGUUAGCUCACCUACAGACGUGUUAUACAUUGUCCCUUUCCUGGCUAUACAAACAUGACCUAUAAUGGAGGUUUUUAACCACCAUUCCAAUUUACUUCUAGUACUUACUUGAUGAUCAGACUGGAAAGGUAUCUGUUGUUCAUAUGUCUCAGAGCCAGGGUACCAUAUUUCCUUUGCCUCCCAUGGCCACUGGUCUCCCAUAUUAGUACCUCCACACACAUAGCAAUUAGUUACAUUAAGACUACCUGCAAUACCCUCAGCCAAAUCAAUAAAUAGGUUGUUAACAUUAUGGGGAAUUUUAUCCUCAAUACUCAUCUCC